GUAGGUGAACCUGCGGAAGGAUCAUUAUUGAGAUGUAACGGCGCCCUGUUAGUUCUAGUGCUGGCUUUUGAAGUAUGUGCACAGCUCUAACUUGGUGAUAACCGUUUCUUAUCCAUCCACCUGUGCACUUAUUGUAGGAGUUGUUAUUAGGUUGGCUCUCAAGUCGAAAGACUUGUUAGUUAGCAUAAUAGGACUUCUAUGUCUUUACAAACCAUUGAAGUAUGUCUAGAAUGUCGUUUUACUGGGACUUCAUUGACCCUCUAAACUUUAUACAACUUUCAGCAACGGAUCUCUUGGCUCUC
rnacentral:misc_RNA from 1 species